rnacentral:lncRNA from 1 species
GAAAAAGUUGGUAUUUAAAAAUCCCAUAAUAUCCCCUAUCAGAACCCAAUCAUUUCAAAACAGCAAGUACAGAGGGCAUGUGUGUAAAUCCAUACCUGCAAGCAAUGUGAAUGCAGUUAAUAACUACAAAUUACCCCAGAGAACAACAACAGUUCAACUUCUCUGUUUGCUUCCUUGGCACACCUUACUCCAAGGCCACUGGGUGAGUGGUGCCAUUGUGACAGCCAGCAGAAAGCAGCAGAAUCACGGUGCUGCCUGCCCAUACUGGAGUUCUACACACCUGUGACACACCAACCACAUCACCCCAAAGGGACACUGUAAGUUUGGUCCUCUGUGAGAGGAAGCAUCCCUCUUUUGCCUCUCUUUAGCAUGGAGUUGCCAUUUGCAGCGCAGUGACUCAUGCAACACCCUUCAUCUCGUUAUCUGAAGCUCUCAGUCUUCCAGCGAUGAACAAAAGGAAAAGAAAGCAAGCAAAAAUGAAAAACAGAAUUAGAUAAAUAACUGGCAGUGUUUUGGGAGAAGCCCAUCCUAUUCCAGAGAGCAGCAACAGCCUUAGUAAGCUCCGACCCAAAGCAAUUUGCUGAGCAUCAAACCACCUCGGCAUCGGCACCGGGGAGCCCCGCCGGGCCUGGAAAUCCCGCUUGCCUGCAAGUGCACAACGUACGGCCAAUCUCCAUAAAGCGCAGUGCCACAGUUGAAUACAAACACUCCUCAGGUCCUGCUGUGACUUGGCACACCCCGUUGGACAGCUGGAAACUGAGAGGAAGGGAGCUGCUGCCAAUAACGCGGUACAGGGGAUUUCAGUGCAAAGUUUCCUGGAAACAGGCGGUGACUGGCAUUAUUAUUUUGCUGGAGGGUAUUGGUGUGAUAUGUCAGAUGUAUACAACGAUCCGUGGUUGCCCUUGUUUUAUGUGAGACAUGAUAUAUGGUAAAGCAGAGCACCUUUCUGGGACGAUCUGUGCGCUUGGGAUGAGAAUUAAAUCCUGAACAAAAUGAACAGAACUCAUCGCAAGCUUACGUAUGGCCUCCUGUAAUUCUGGGAAUCAGAUACUGCCCUAAGUGACAUUUUAUGACGCGUACGAAAAAGACCUAGCUUGCUAAGGGCCACGAUUGUGUAUCUCACACCUCUGCAGCUGCGGUUUAGUGUAGAUAGAUUGCAUACAGUAACUCUUUCAUUUUCCUUGGAGCCACUCGCGAUGAAGUGCUACUGGCGAUCAUUAAAACAAGAUUGCGCUUUUUAUGUAGCUUGAAUACAUGAAUGGUGCUUAUCUGCAUUCCGGGGUAAAGAAUGCUUUAAGGACAAUUCGCGGAUGUAAAUGAAACAGCUAAAUUAGGACUUGGCACGCUCUGUCAUAAUUAGCCUAAUGUGAUAUAAUUUUU